GCCUAAACAGCCAACACGGCAGCUGGGAAUUUGCUACAGCAAAUACAGGUUUCUUGGCCCUGACUCUAUCUUGUGAGCAGAGAUGGGUAAAUGGCCACUAGAGUCUAUACCAGAGGAUCCCUUUUUGUAUACCUAGAGUUAUAUCAGUUAUAUAGUUACCUUCAACCAACAAAGUCAUGCAGAAUAGGUGUUUCAGCUUGCUGACAUAAAUCGGAUACUCCAAAUGCAUUUACCUUUGAGCUGAGAUACAGUGUGGAAUAUAGCAGUCCUGGGGUGCUUGAAUAGGCAUUUGUUACCCCUCUAUCUACAGGAUCAAGCAUAGAAGCACAGAGCAUGGGACCAGCCACGGAGCCCAGCAUGGGGCCAGCCAUGGAGCCCAGCAUGGGGCCAGCCACAGGGCCAGCCACGGGGCCCAGCUCGGAGCCAAGCUCCACGUCAAGUGUGGAACCAAGCACUGAGCCCAACCACAAAGAAAAUGAAGAGCUCAGUGGAGAUCCCUGCAUUGAAGAAAGUAAGGAGUCCAGUGGAGAACCCGGCCCAGAUCCAAUUACAGAGUCGACCAGAAACCCAAGUGUAGAACCAAGUACGGAGCCAAACACGGAACUACCCUAAUAACCUCAUCAGCAGAGUAUAACCAUCCCUUCCCGACAACUUCAGCUUCCUGGAAGAAAAAUUCUAGAUGAUGGCAUGUCAAAGCUAAAUUCAAUAUACUUGUAGAAGCUACAGCUCAUAGAAAGUUAGCCACACCUGUUUGGGUUUCAACACAAUCACUUAAUCCCUUCCCAUGUAUUCUGUUAUAAUUUUAUUUAAUUCUGACUGGUUAGACAAAUGAGGGCUGAUGUGUAGCAUUUGUACUGCAACACUUCCCUUCCCUUGCAAGUUCAUCAUUCCCUGCUGGUAGUCUUGUUCUCCUUGCAUAACAGUAAUAAACACAUACUUACAUGCAUAAAAAUGUCAUUAGGGUAGCGUGUCUUGUUAUUGUCAAAACUUCUAUCCAAUCAUUUGCUAAAACUAGUUAGGUUUUUUUCUAACUUUCCACACAAAGUGACUCCAAGUACUAUUUAUUGUUAAUCUAUGAACAAGCCCAUGCGCUGAGCUGGAAGGAGAGGGUGGGUGGGUGGAUAUGGGUAUGUGUGAAUACCUUCACAUAAGCCCCAGCAGUGACCCUAGAGCCACACUUCCUAUUCUCAUACUCAGUUCUGGAGAGUUCAAGCUCCCUCCAUUCCUGAACAUGACAUUCUGAUACAGGAAUGUUGGCCUGGAAACUGCAGUACAGUAGCUAAAAGCUACUUACAGAACAAACAGUGACACAGGAGUUUCCCACAUUGUCUUUCCAUGGUGACCAACAAUAGUAUGAAAUGUUGACUCCUUUUUUUAACCUCUUUACCUACAAGAAUGCCAAUUAUUGCCAAGCACAGACAUGCUAUGCAGAAAUACCUUUUGUUUUCUUAUUCAGAAUUCCAAACCAAGUAGUGAGCAAACAUCAGAAAUAAUAUCUCCUGAAGUACAGGUUAAAAAAAAACCCCAAACAACAGGCAGGUAGAGGGAAGGGAAAAUUACUUCUGAGUGAGACUUCAGAUGGGUUAUUAAAAACAGGAAGAUGAGUAAAUAUGCGUAAGAC